UUAUGAUUGUAUAUAUACAUACACAAUUGUAUAUAAUUUAUAUAUUAUAUUACAUACAAGAACUGUGGACAAAUGUUUAAGAACGGUAGUUCGCAAGUAGCAGCGAAUGAACAAAUUAAUUAUUUAGGAUUCGUCCGUCCGUUUUCAAUUGAACAAAGUUAAAUUGGCCGCUGGUAAUCUCCCCCACUUUUGGGUCAGCGAACCUAGCGCUAAGUUGUCUCCCCUCCUGGCUGCACAUUCGGGUUAAUUAGGUUCAUUAAACUUGAUGGGCAGUGGCAAGGGCGAGCACGAGCUCUUAGCGUCUUCGUUCGUACUCGAUACUCGAAACAACGUCUUCGACUUGAACGAGGAAAAAUUAUAAUUGCAUCGGGCACCGCUGCCUCCGAUCCGAAAUAGUUGCCUCGAGAUAGUUCAUAUUUCAUACUUAAUCGCACUCUUUCGAUUCAUAUUUAAUGGAAGAAUAAUCAAGCGAAGAUACUCGUUAGAAUUCUCCGUUAAAUAAAUUCACGGGGGAACUACCAUAACGAAAUGUCAAUUACACGUGCCCACAGAGGGUUGCAAAAAUACUUGGUCAUAUUGUUACGCCGGAGGGUUGAAACACGAGAAUCCACGUUAAACUAUAUAUAACGUUUAUUAACAAACUUUAACUUUUAACGAUUUAAUAAUAAUUCAACGAUAAACUUAGAGACUUGUAGCGAUACGUCUUCUCUCUUUGAGAUCUCGAAUCGCUCUCUUCUAUUUUAAAAGUUUGCCGCUUCCUGGCAACCGGAAGCGCGGGAACUCGUUUCACACCGCGCCACCGCGCGCAGAAAAUAAUCGUAUUAGUUAAUUAAUAAUGAAAACGAAAACUGUCUUCGAUCUCUCCUUUUGCCGUGUAUCGAAAAAGUGCUCGGAAUUGGCAAGAAUAAUUAGCGCCGUCGAGUCGAGUACCACGCGCGGGCCUGACACGCGAAACCAAAGUUUCUUCUUCGGCGUACACAAAGCGUCCUCUUGUUUGCACUUUCCGUCGCAACUGUACGCACAUGUGCGCAUCUAAAUAUAUUCGCACGCGGUGCACGUGGCGCGCCGCCCACACUCAAACGAUGCCUGCACAUUUAUUCCACGGUGAUCCGAGGAAAGCAUUCGCGUCUGAAGAACACUCGCCGAACGGUUUUCUGUGAAAAGAUCUGCUCGUUGAAUAAUUCGUGUUUCUUUCCGCGCCGCGCUUCGGAAUCUAAAAAGGCGGGGGAAACGGCACCGAAAACGUCAGGUUUGUAGACGGCAUUAUUUAGAAAGGAUAAUUACUUUCUCUUUCAUUUUUUGUUUACUUCUGCAGAUGAGAAUACUCGACGCAGACUUCCUUCGAGUAUCUCGAAUGCAAAGCGACGACUCUGAUCACCCUCUUCCGGCAAUUAUGCUCGGUACUCGUUCUCUCCUACGUUGGUAGACAAAUGACUAUUUCUGGAUCGUCUGACAUCAAAUCUAAACGCCUCGAAUGCCGUCUAUUACACUCUCGCGUAUGCCUUCAGCUUGUUAAAUUUACAAAAGAUUUCUUUGUGCUGCUAUAGAUACGUACGUAUGGUGGUUGUUUCGAGAUGGUCGCGUUCAACGGUCGGAAAUCGUCAAUUGGAAACUUUUGUAAAGCGUUACUGUUGGGUAAACCUUGAUUGAUCAAUUUAAAUCGAAAUAGGCUUGUAUGAUUCAUACAGGCAGUCCCGUAAAUAUUCGUACCCUAUAUGUCUAUCGAAGAAAUUUGUUUCGUGUUUCCAAGUGUAUGUUUGUACUCUAAAUAUACGCACGUAUGAGCUUAUUCGUAUACAUAUUUAUAAUGAAAAGUCGAACUUCUUCAUCGGGCGGCGUGUACCACCGGUGGUUCACAUUUGUGUGUCCCUUUGGGCGGAGUGUACCACCGGUGGUUCGCGCUCGCGUGUCUAUCAGAUGACGUGUACCACCGCGCCGCCUCAUGGGCGAGAAACACAAAUGGGAGCCGCACGUGUUAAAUAAAUCCAUGGAAAACUACCUCAACCGAUCAAUUAAACGAAACGUUGCGGUAGAUAUCUCCACGGGAAGACUCGUCGAUACAAACUCGCCACAAAGAUACCAUUUUCUCUGAAAGGGCAACCUUGUCCGAGCCGAUUCCCCGUCGAGAAUCGCGUAUUGCGCUAACGGCGACAGUUUUUGCCGACGCGCACUUACGCGUUCCGCGUUACGGAGACGACACAAUGUUCGCGCAUCGGGAGCAUCGCGACGCCGUCGUCUAACGAGCCUUCCGGUAAUUACGUCGUUGCAUGCGAACUUUCUACGGCGAAUACGUACGCGAACGACGCGUUGUAGUCUGGCUGAAUGCGCGUCGUCCUAUCGGACCCCGCGAUCUCUCUGAUUUUUACAAUUAACUCUCUGUGGGCACGUGUAACUUUCGAUUCGCGCACCACGUUAUUGAUAUUACGUUGAGUAAUUCGAUUAGUCGAAGACGGUGCAACGAUACAGUAGAAUAAUAAUGUUCAACCAGUGAAAAAAUACAGCGAAAUAAUAAUAAUAAAAAUAUUAGAUACGAUACACUGAGUACCAAAAUUAAACGAAACACUUGGAUUUUUUUUGCGUUUCUGUCUCUUGAAAGAAUCUUUCAUAAGAACUAAUUACACUGGACACCUGUUAUAUUUCGACAUGGAAAGAAUCAACGUUACUGGAAGGAAUUCGUGAAUUUAGGAACGUUACAAAAUUAAAUCCUGCGACGAACGAUAAUUUAUUUGAUUUUCGAUGGUCUCGAGACGAAAUGUAACUCUGCAGAAAUUGUGUAUGAGUUUUUGCCUGGCCUCGAACGCGUCGAUUAUCGAAAAUUUUGUAUCGCGCCUGGUUUCGCGCCCUCCGGUUCGAGAAACACCGUCCCGAACCCUCGUCGACCGAGGAGCAAAAACGAGGACAGGAAGGAGACAAGGUGGUGAAAAAGCCAUAGACGUUGGCGUAAUCCAAAAGCAGCCGCGUUUCGAACGCGCACGAAGAUGAGUGGCGCGCGAGACAAAAGGCCCUCUCUAGUCGCGGAGAGUUCACGGACAGCUGAAUGGUGAAUAAUAUAGCGCAGGAGGACCAGAGGAACGUGGCGAGGGAUAAAGUACACGCGGCGAGGGUCGAUGUGCGUGUUAAAAAAAAAAAAGAGAGAAGAGAAAAAAAAGGAAAACGAGAGGAAGUUCCCCUGGUGGCGCGAGGGUUGAAAACAGACGGACGAUCAAGCGAAAGGGAAGAGGGAAGGUUGGAGAGGUUGGCUCGUUGAAGAGUACCCUAGCCAGUCUGCUAUCGAGCAAUUCUCGUUGCUAUGGGGAUAAUCUCGAAAGGUCUCCUCGAAGUACGCAAAAUCCGGGCUUCGCGGCGCCCGAUUUACGCGGAAAUGACAGCCAUUCCUUCCGGUAUACAGCUGGUAAUCCAAACGAGUUUUCAGAGCAACAAUAAGAAUCGACGACGAGGGAUCCCAUGCAUCGCGUAAAAAUCGACCUCCAGCCCUCUCCAUCCUCCUUCCAGAGUUCGCGUCGGUGGCCCCCAUUGAAACUGCCUGGAUCCUGGAAACAGAGAGCUCCUUUGAAGCCUUCUGCAGGCGUGUUCAUCGUGCGUGCACGGCGUAAAUGGCCGCAUCCGUGCGCCACGUGCCGUGCAUUCUAUCCUAAGAGAACAAUAAUCGGCCGCUGCGAAACAACAACGAGCUCUCGCUCCUUUCCUUCCCCGUCGCUCGUGCCGGCUGAUCCGCAUGAAUAAGUAUCCCGACGACAGGAGAACCAGGAAACGUUCGACGAAGCGCACCGGACGACACGCCGGUCGAUCGUUGUUUGCUGGAUGACAGUAAUUUCAAGGCUCGGGGACUCGCGCCGUCCACGAAAAUUUUCGCCAAGGAUCGUGGCAGGUUGAAAGAACGAGCGUUCGAUUAAAACAUAACGGAAUUAGCUGAUUUAUUUGGAAAAAUCCUCGCUGAUAGUCGAAAAGAAUCCAUUCGGUCAGAACGGGCUUGUUCUUGUAUAAUCAACAUUCACCCGGUGUACUCACACACUCACGAGAAAUUGGGCGAGGCUACUACACAGAUAUACGAAUAUACAAGCGGCGUGGGGACGAACGACGAUAUAAUAAUUGUUCUCGUUACAGUAAAAAGACGAUUUCGCUUUGCUUUUUUUUUUUAUUAUUAUUUUUUGGCGCGCUCGUUACGAUUCCGCGCUCGAUUACGCCGCGGUUAUUUAAUCGUCGCUACGUAUAAUACAUAAAUAUGUAAUCUAUCGAUCGAAGCACGAGAUAAAAUAUUGAAUGAUAAUAAAACACAACAAGGGCAAGUAUAGCGUACAAUAGAAUUUUGAACGACAAGUCGAUAUAAAAACAACAACCACGUCUCGACAGAUAUUGCGAGGAUUGACUCCAGGCCCGGGAAUUCGCGUGUACCAGAAUUAGGACUGAGACUAGUAACCUAAUACACCUGAUCUUCGAUUCGUUAAAUUUCGUUCAUUCUUAAUUUAGAAAAUUUUUCGAUUUCGAUUAAAACGCGAUAGAGGAGCUUACUGAAAGUUUGAUAUGUUACAAAAACCGAAAUUGUGAAUCGUUCGAAGAGAAAUAAACAAUUAUCGACCGCAUCGUUACCGAAACGUAAUUAAAAUUCGAAACCGAACGUAGAGAAGUUGCGAAUUCGGAUUCCACUAGGCUGGAGAGAUCCUGCGAAACUUACAGCCUGGGUUGCCUAUGUACAAAGUGUCCUUAGAAUAUAAUGUUCGUUUUGGCGUACGCUAGACGUACUCGUCAUCCUAACAUCUUUCCUGUUCCUCGAUUAAUUCUCGGGUCGACUAGCAUCGUCACUCAUUACAGUCGUUAGAAUUCCCUCUAGUUUUCGUUUAAUAUCGUUCUGUUUACGUCGCAUCCGUACAGGCGAGGAUCGUGUGUUCUCGUCGCGACACCCUUCCGUGGCUGGCGUGGACCGGGACGUGCUAAUUAGACGCGUUAAUUAGUGGUAAUUCAGCUGUCGGUGGAGGCAAUCGGUGCCACCGGAAGUUCCGAGGAACUGGGUUAAGGCGACGCUGGAAGUGGGGCGGACGUGAAAAGGAAAGGUCUGUGGUGUUCGGCGAACUUCCAACGAGGAUGUUGGGUCCUGGACAACUGUGCUGGUUUUAGACGGGAGCGACUUCAACGACAAAUAUCGGACACCCAUUGUGCGAGGUUCCCGUGGACUUCGACUGUUGGUUCACCUGAAAGUUCCAGAGUUCACUUGGAGGAGCUUUUACCUUUGAUAAAUAAUGUACGCUCUCCAUUAGGAAUCACCGUUGAAUCAGCGCAACGCUUCAUUUUUUUUUUUUAAAGAUGGAAAUCAGAUUCUAAUCGUGUGUGAAAUUUUCAUUGCUCUUCGUCUGUCUUCGGUCCAAUUGAAAGUUCCAUCGUUUAAUUAGUCGCGCUAAUGAUAAUUUUUGCAUACAAUCGUUGCAUCGAUGGAGAAAUAGCGUUAUAAUUUACUAGAGAAAGGAUACUUGAAUCGUAGCCUCUUUAAGAAAUGAAUUUAUAAUAGCACUUCGGUUAUACAGGGUGUCCCAAAAAUGUUGCAACACCUUGAAAGGGGUGAUUCCAACGGUAUACACGAGCUCUGAUUGGUCGGGGUAUUUUUGUUAAUAUCUCCUUAACGAAGCCUCGGAUAACAUUUUCGCUAAGGAAAAAAUUGUUUCAAAUCACCUCCCGAACCACCCCUUUCAAGGAGUUACAAUAUUUUUUUGGAAUACCCAAUAUAACAGCACUUCGUUUAUAUAGUUGUACAGCAGAACUUGCGCGCCUGUGGAAGAACGUUAUGACCGUAUAUGGUAGGUCGCAACAAGUGAAAGUAAAGCAAGAAGAAGAUGCAGCCUGGCGCAAUAGUGAAACUAUUUACAAAUACCAAAAAUGCAGCGUCCAUACUUGCGUAAUCGCGGCAUUUUCUCGUAAAUAAGGUACAGCCGAAAAAUGUUUCAUCGUUGUUCCAUCCUGUGGGAUAUGCGCGUAGAGUACGUAACGUUACUGUUGAUCCUUGAUGGUUAUAGAACGUACGUUGAAAUUGAAAAUAACAUCGGCGGAAGUUCGAGAGGCGCAACUGGAAGCGAUAAAUCUUCGGUAGCCGUUCCGCGUGCAUACUUGGAGUCCGGAAAGUGUGUCCUAAGAAACCGCGGAACAUUCCAAGCAAUAAAGUGUGAACUGUGAAGAAACAGGUUCCAUUUCGUCACGGCUCGUCCUCUUCUUCGCAACGACAAUGCGCUCCGCGUGUUCGAUUCUAUACGAUGAUUGAGUUCCCUCUUGGAUUUUCGUUUAGUUAGAAAUCAUGGAACGAAAAAUCCUUUCGAAUCAUUCGAAGAUCCCUUCAUUCGUCGUUCGUGUUUGCCAGUUGUGUUUGUGAUACUCAAAAUGGUGGCCAUAGAUGAUCCAAUUAAUCUUGAUCAGAGUGUGUGUUCUGAUAACAAAUAUUUUUGGUAAGUCUUCCUGGUUUGAUUUUGGGGGAAAUCCACGGUAAGCUUGGACCGUCGUAGCAAAUAUUGAAAUUUGAAUGGUUGAAGGAAAAUUGGAGAAACUGGGAGGAAGGGAGAGCCACGAGAACAUCACUCGCUAGAACAUUUUCGGGAACGCGUUUAAAAUAUAACAAGUCCACGCGAAUAUAAGAAGUUUAGAAACAAAAAGAAAAAGCACACCUUUGCUCGGAGUUAUUCCAUAACUCUGGCGAUAUUUUUCGAUGCCUGAAAGGUGGCUAUCGGUUCAGUCGCAGAACUUCAGUGGUGCGUAUUACCGGUAAUAUCCCGUUUCUGCUGCGCGAAUAGGUGACAACUCGAAGGGUCAGAUAACGAUACUGCACCGUGGCUGAUUACAGAGUUUGCGUUGAACCACGCCGAUCCAACGGUUAAAAAAUAUCUGCCAUCGAUAACAACUGCCCACACCGGAAGCGGGUAUGUUAAAGAGGCCGCUGAGGGUACACACUGGCAAGAAAUGCAAGCUGCCGCCGUUUUGAGCUCUUUCGCUUCGCUCGAACUUGGAAAAGAUCGGCAAUAAAACCUCGACCGAACGGGUCUAGCCUAGAAACCCUUCAAACCGCGAUACUUUCCGCUAAGCAACGUAUAAACUCGCAUAAACCGUUCGAGGUAUUCUCGAACAACUAACGCAGGCAUGUUCAACUCGACGCCCUUGCGGGCAAACAGCGAUCGCGGGAUAGUAAUAUAAUGUGAAUAUUAAGGACAAGCAGAAGAAUAAUUUCUCUAUGUAAUAAAAUGAUAUGUAUAUCAAUGACACGCCAAGAAGAAUGAAUACGCUACCGGGACUCUAGUUGUGCAUUAUUUGGUUAGGCGUUCCCGUGACAAAAUGGCGUACUUAUCGAUGCACGCCCUUUCCAAACCUUGGAUUAUUUUUAGAUGCCGCGGGCGUGGACGAGGCGAACGCUUCUACGCGUUGAUACUCGAACGGAGGCGGCUCGUGUUCAUUCUUCUGGCGCGCUAUUAAUACAUGCCGCGGCACGAAUAGUAAAACGAACCACACGUGCCGCGAUUGUCGCGGUAUUAACAAGUUUACCAAUAAACAAGUGUGUAUCAUUAUCGGUGUAUCGCAUUCGCGCUUGAAAAUCGCGAGUUCUAGCUCGUUCGUUCGAGACGGUUGCCCGCGACGGACCGACCGUUGGACAUGCCUUGACAAAUUCAAACGCAACGAAUUAGCUAUCCUAACAAACGAUAUAUUACGCUUUUGAUUCAACGAUCGUCGAGAGUAGCACCCGUUCAGACACCCUCGAGAUAUGUAUGGUUUCCGAGCAAAGCUCAAAACGAUCGAUUCGCCUCCUCUGCGGCGAGAGCUCGUCUCUCGUCUUCCCGAGCUACGCAGCACGACGGACGACGAGUACAAAUAUACGGACUCGCGCGUAUGCACGCGCGAUACGCUAGUUACCGGUUAGGGUUGGGGUUGAGGGUUCUGUUAUCACAUUAGUUUUACAAAAAAUCGUCUCGAGCGAGGCCACGACGGGACAUCCUGGUUUCUUCUCGCGUACAACGUAUAAAGGUGCAAAAAUCUGGAGAGGCACGGUCACCGCUGGGACUCCUAUGUCCGCGAUCCACCUCAACGACUAUCGACGCGUACUACGAGCAUUCCUCUAGUAUGAUAAUCGAUUAUGAUUGUUAGAGAUUCCCCCGCGUACCAAGAGCGGUCUAACGGGAUCCUGUCCGACUCGUUCAGAGUCCGGUAAAAAAAUCGUAGACCGUUCGCGAAUCGUAGAAAAUUGGCCGCCACUCAAAUCCAACUGUCCUCGCGACUCGUUCGCUUCGAUCCGUUCAUGGACCUAUCCGUUUGUCGCUAUCAACCCAUUCGCGACCGCGCCAACAUGAAGAAUUUCCCGGUUGCCGAAAACCUUAGUCCAAUUCAAUUAUUCUGAUUUAAGAGUUAAGAAUUAUUACGUAUAUAAUAACAACAAGUCAUCUAUUAUAUAUAUAUAUACACAUAUACAUACAAUAGAUAUAUAAUGUUAUAUUAUAAAGGGUGUCACAUCUAAACUAGACCACCUGAAUAUGUGUUUCAAUUGUGACAAUUUCAACAAAUAUUUGUAUUGUAUUUAUUACAAUGCUCCCCCAAAGGAUUCGCAUGGCUCCGUCUUUCCCAUUUACAUCUUUUACAAUUAAUUUCAACAAAUGUUUUACAUGCAAUUUGAACGAAGCGUAUUUUAAUAUCAGCUACAUAAAACGAUAGAAAAGAAACAUGAAUUUAUAAGCGAAAUUGAGAGAGAUAUUCAGGUGGUCUAGGUGUGACAUCCUGUAAAUACACACACAUAUAUAUAUCUACAUAUUCUAUAAAUGAUUAUAUGCUUCAUCUAUAAGACCGUAUUCGUUACGGAUGACUUGUCGUUAUUACGUUUAGUUACCAGAGCGUCGUAAGUCCCGUACUUUGGAAAAGUUUCGUUAAAGAACGAGUUUCUCUAACGUUAUAAAUCGCGAAACGUCGGCCGCGUAUCAAUUUGUCUAGGAAGCGACGAUAACACGUUGCGGCACGCGUAAAUAGACCUCGCGAAUAGACGAAUUAACGUCAGCGGUCGCGAAUGCGUUAACAGGGCUCGACGUCAUCGUUAUCAGCGAUGAAGCCGUCGCUAUUGCUGAACCUCUCGUCGAUGUUCCGAUCCUCGGUAACAAAAUAGGCGGCGUCCCGUUCUUGCGUUCGAUCCGAGGCGCGAAAAUUGGGCGGCAACGAGCUCGUUAUCGAUAACGAGUCGAGAGACUCGGGCGAUAUUCCGCGCGCCGUCGUCGUGAAGUUUUCCCCCCGUGAUUCGGAAUUUGGUAAAAUAGAGCUUCUAUGUAGUCAGCGAAGAAGCACUUGUUUCGUUGUCGUCCGAUAAACAACCGGUCGCGGAGCACCGCGAUUCAGGCGAUCGAGUCCUCGUUUAUCGUUCCAGUCUUGGAGAAUUAUCUACACCCUCGUUAUCGGGACGAUCUUGGUCGUCGAUAACGUUCCUCGAACGUCUCUUUUCAGUCCAUCGGUUCAGGUUUGAUAAAAAAUACACCGCGAGGGUGACGUCGUCCAGAUCCAUCGUCGAGACCUGGAACGCGCGUCCUUUCGUCGGUGACGAGGCCUUUUCUCUAAAAAAAAAGAAA